CGUAUGUGACUGAGAAGUGUUUUACGGACAUCCGCCCCGUGGAAGCUCGCGAAGACAUUAGUGAUGUUCGUUUGGUUGCCGCAGGUCCGGCGUCUGCGUCUGCGGCAAUGAUUUUCGCACAAAGCUUGUUCGUUUCAUCGACGCAGGUACCGGCGUCGGCGUCUGCGUCUAGACGCAGCGUCCAGCGUCAAGACGCCGAAAAAACCAGCGGCCGCGUCAUUUUUUCUGCGUCUACUUUACCUAUUUACCGUUUUACCCCUAACUUGAUUUCCUAAUUACAAAAAUAUCUAAACCUAUUGACGCAGACUCACCUCCAUUGACGCAGACAGCUUUCUUCUCCAACUCUCUCUCGAUCUCGAACCCAGCUCCCUCUUUCGAUCUCCGGCGUAAACGCAGUGCUCUCUAUCUCUUCUCCGGCGCAGUUCUCUCUCUCGAUCUCCCGACGAAAACCCAUCUCCCGAACUCUCUCUCUCGAUCUCGGACGCGAGCUCUCUCUCUUCUCCGACGCAAACCACUCGAGCUCUCUCUCUUUGAGGCUCUCUCGUCUCAAGCUCACACACAUUUCUGCAUAUCUUUUUGUAAUGUCGUUUGUAUGCUUGUGCUAACAAAACAAUGAAUGGUGUCUUGGUGAACAGAGAGCCCAAAGAAGGUUGAAGAGAAGAAAAUAGACGCAUGGGGAAGUGCUGUUCCCGAAGAUUUGGAACUGGACGAGGAGGCACUUGCUAAGAACAGAGUCAAGAGCCUGCUCGGCUAAGAAUCAUAGCUUCAGUCACAUGAACAUGAUCGUUGGAAGUAGUUUUCAUUUUGAUUGAGCCAGAGCUCGUUUUUGUACAUCACUCUCUUACGUUUUUUUUUUUUUUUAAUCAAUGCUCUCUUACAUUUUCUUAGUCUGUAUAUGAAAAGUAACUUUGAAGUCAAACCCCUCUCUCCGGUUUCUCUACUUUUGUUAUGAUAAGUGAGGCUCUGUCUUCUUGUUUCAUAUUUACUAAAAUGAUGUUGACAAUA